rnacentral:rRNA from 1 species
UACAGAGGGAGCAAGCGUUGUUCGGAAUUACUGGGCGUAAAGCGCGCGCAGGCGGUCUCUUGAGUCUGAUGUGAAAGCCCACGGCUCAACCGUGGAGGGUCAUUGGAAACUGGGAGACUUGAGUGCAGAAGAGGAGAGCGGAAUUCCACGUGUAGCGGUGAAAUGCGUAGAUAAUCAGGAAGAACACCCGUGGCGAAGGCGGCUCCUCUGGGACGGUACUGACGGCUGAGACGCGAAAGCGUGGGAGCGAACAGG